UACGUAGGUGGCAAGCGUUGUCCGGAAUUAUUGGGCGUAAAGCGCGCGCAGGCGGUUCCUUAAGUCUGAUGUGAAAGCCCACGGCUCAACCGUGGAGGGUCAUUGGAAACUGGGGAACUUGAGUGCAGGAGAGAAGAGUGGAAUUCCACGUGUAGCGGUGAAAUGCGUAGAGAUGUGGAGGAACCCCAGUGGCGAAGGCGACUCUUUGGCCUGUAACUGACGCUGAGGCGCGAAAGCGUGGGGAGCAAACAGG
rnacentral:rRNA from 1 species